ensembl:lncRNA
AAAGAGAGAGGAGUAGAGAGAGAGAAAGAGAGAGAGGAGUAGAGAGAGAGAAAGAGAGAGAGGAGUAGAGAGAGAGAAAGAGAGAGAGGAGUAGAGAGAGAGAGAGAGAGAGGAAGAGAGAGAGAGAGAGGAGUAGAGAGAGGAGUAGAGAGAGGAAGAGAGAGAGAGAGAGGAGGAGAGAGAGAGAGAGAGAGAGGAGAGAGAGAGAGAGAGAGAGGAGUAGAGAGAGAGAGAGAGAGGAGUAGAGAGAGGGAGAGAGGAGAGAGAGAGGAGUAGAGAGAGGAAGAGGGGUAGAGAGAGGAGUAGAGAGAGAGAGAGAGCGAGGAGUAGAGAGAGAGAAAGAGAGGAGUAGAGAGAGGGAGGAGUAGAGAGAGGAGUAGAGAGAGGAGUAGAGAGAGAGAGAGAGGAGUAGAGAGAGGAGUAGAGAGAGAAAGAGAGAGAGAGGAGUAGAGAGAGAGAGAGGAGUAGAGAGAGGAGUAGAGAGAGGAGUAGAGAGAGAGAGAGAGAGAGGAG